rnacentral:rRNA from 1 species
AGUGAACGCUGGCGGUAGGCCUAACACAUGCAAGUCGAACGGCAGCACAAGAGAGCUUGCUCUCUGGGUGGCGAGUGGCGGACGGGUGAGGAAUACAUCGGAAUCUACUCUGUCGUGGGGGAUAACGUAGGGAAACUUACGCUAAUACCGCAUACGACCUACGGGUGAAAGCAGGGGACCUUCGGGCCUUGCGCGAUUGAAUGAGCCGAUGUCGGAUUAGCUAGUUGGCGGGGUAAAGGCCCACCAAGGCGACGAUCCGUAGCUGGUCUGAGUGGAUGAUCAGCCACACUGGAACUGAGACACGGUCCAGACUCCUACGGGAGGCAGCAGUGGGGAAUAUUGGAAAAUGGGCGCAAGCCUGAUCCAGCCAUACCGCGUGGGUGAAGAAGGCCUUCGGGUUGUAAAGCCCUUUUGUUGGGAAAGAAAUCCAGCUGGCUAAUACCCGGUUGGGAUGACGGUACCCAAAGAAUAAGCACCGGCUAACUUCGUGCCAGCCGCCGCCGUAA